GCGGGCGUGGCGGAAUGGGAUACGCGGCGGAUUUAAGACCCGCUGGGGCAGAGCCCCGUGCAGGUUCAAGUCCUGUCACCCGCA
rnacentral:tRNA from 2 species